rnacentral:rRNA from 1 species
CCUACGGGUGGCAGCAGUGAGGAAUAUUGGUCAAUGGACGAGAGUCUGAACCAGCCAAGUAGCGUGAAGGAUUACUGCCCUAUGGGUUGUAAACUUCUUUUAUAUGGGAAUAAAACAGGGUAUGCAUACCCUCUUGUAUGUACCAUAUGAAUAAGGAUCGGCUAACUCCGUGCCAGCAGCCGCGGUAAUACGGAGGAUCCGAGCGUUAUCCGGAUUUAUUGGGUUUAAAGGGAGCGUAGGCGGUUUGUUAAGUCAGGUGUGAAUGUUUGCGGCUUAACCGUAAAAUUGAGGUUGAAACUGGAAGUCUUGAGUACAGUAGAGGUGGGCGGAAUUCGUGGUGUAGCGGUGAAAUGCUUAGAUAUCACGAAGAACUCCGAUUGCGAAGGCAGCUCACUGGACUGCUACUGACACGGAUGCUCGAAAGUGUGGGUAUCAAACAGGAUUAGAUACCCGGGUAGUC